GAUGAACGCUGGCGGCGUGCCUAAUACAUGCAAGUCGAGCGAACGGACGAGAAGCUUGCUUUUCUGAUGUUAGCGGCGGACGGGUGAGUAACACGUGGAUAACCUACCUAUAAGACUGGGAUAACUUCGGGAAACCGGAGCUAAUACCGGAUAAUAUUUUGAACCGCAUGGUUCAAAAGUGAAAGACGGUCUUGCUGUCACUUAUAGAUGGAUCCGCGCUGCAUUAGCUAGUUGGUAAGGUAACGGCUUACCAAGGCAACGAUGCAUAGCCGACCUGAGAGGGUGAUAGGCCACACUGGAACUGAGACACGGUCCAGACUCCUACGGGAGGCAGCAGUAGGGAAUCUUCCGCAAUGGGCGAAAGCCUGACGGAGCAACGCCGCGUGAGUGAUGAAGGUCUUCGGAUCGUAAAACUCUGUUAUUAGGGAAGAACAUAUGUGUAAGUAACUGUGCACAGCUUGACGGUACCUAAUCAGAAAGCCACGGCUAACUACGUG
rnacentral:rRNA from 1 species